rnacentral:rRNA from 1 species
AGAGUUUGAUCCUGGCUCAGGAUGAACGCUGGCGGCGUGCCUAAUACAUGCAAGUAGAACGCUGAAGAGAGGAGCUUGCUCUUCUUGGAUGAGUUGCGAACGGGUGAGUAACGCGUAGGUAACCUGCCUUGUAGCGGGGGAUAACUAUUGGAAACGAUAGCUAAUACCGCAUAACAAUGGGUGACACAUGUCAUUUAUUUGAAAGGGGCAAUUGCUCCACUACAAGAUGGACCUGCGUUGUAUUAGCUAGUAGGUGAGGUAACGGCUCACCUAGGCGACGAUACAUAGCCGACCUGAGAGGGUGACCGGCCACACUGGGACUGAGACACGGCCCAGACUCCUACGGGAGGCAGCAGUAGGGAAUCUUCAGCAAUGGACGGAAGUCUGACCGAGCAACGCCGCGUGAGUGAAGAAGGUUUUCGGAUCGUAAAGCUCUGUUGUAAGAGAAGAACGAGUGUGAGAGUGGAAAGUUCACACUGUGACGGUAUCUUACCAGAAAGGGACGGCUAACUACGUGCCAGCAGCCGCGGUAAUACGUAGGUCCCGAGCGUUGUCCGGAUUUAUUGGGCGUAAAGCGAGCGCAGGCGGUUAGAUAAGUCUGAAGUUAAAGGCUGUGGCUUAACCAUAGUACGCUUUGGAAACUGUUUAACUUGAGUGCAAGAGGGGAGAGUGGAAUUCCAUGUGUAGCGGUGAAAUGCGUAGAUAUAUGGAGGAACACCGGUGGCGAAAGCGGCUCUCUGGCUUGUAACUGACGCUGAGGCUCGAAAGCGUGGGGAGCAAACCAGGAUUAGAUACCCUGGUAGUCCACGCCGUAAACGA